CCACGACUGAAUAGGAUACCACUACACGCACUUGUAAAGGGUGGAUGAGGAACAUCAUGCCUACACACUGCUACCAAGGAUCAUAGGCCACACCACCUCUGCAGAUUAAAAGAGAUAGGGCAGACAGAAAACGGCUGUUACAUUACAGACCAAACUUUGAAGAACGAUUGGUGAGCGCUUCAAUGCCCAAACUAGAACUUACCCUGACUCGAAAUAGUAUAACUCAAGGGGUUGGAUACGACACCGACGGUACACAUGAUGGGAGCAGAACAGGUAAACCGGUG